UACCUCGCAACUCCUAUCCCUACCUCCUCGUGGUACUGGCCGGGGUACGAGUAACCUUGGGGAAGAUCGGGUAACCAACCCCCGGUGGGAACUUUGGUCGUAUGCUGACAGGGAAGG
rnacentral:ribozyme from 1 species